GGAGAGUUGGCCGAGUGGCUGAAGGCGCCGGUUUGCUAAACCGUUAUAGGGCGAAAGCUCUAUCGGGGGUUCGAAUCCCCCACUCUCCGCCA
rnacentral:tRNA from 1 species